rnacentral:rRNA from 1 species
GCUCAGAUUGAACGCUGGCGGCAGGCCUAACACAUGCAAGUCGAGCGGUAGCACAAGGAGCUUGCUCCUGGGUGACGAGCGGCGGACGGGUGAGUAAUGUCUGGGAAACUGCCCGAUGGAGGGGGAUAACUACUGGAAACGGUAGCUAAUACCGCAUAACGUCUUCGGACCAAAGUGGGGGACCUUCGGGCCUCACACCAUCGGAUGUGCCCAGAUGGGAUUAGCUAGUAGGUGAGGUAAUGGCUCACCUAGGCGACGAUCCCUAGCUGGUCUGAGAGGAUGACCAGCCACACUGGAACUGAGACACGGUCCAGACUCCUACGGGAGGCAGCAGUGGGGAAUAUUGCACAAUGGGCGCAAGCCUGAUGCAGCCAUGCCGCGUGUGUGAAGAAGGCCUUCGGGUUGUAAAGCACUUUCAGCGAGGAGGAAGGGUUCGGUGUUAAUAGCACCGUUCAUUGACGUUACUCGCAGAAGAAGCACCGG